rnacentral:lncRNA from 1 species
AUCCCUCAUAGCAGCCGCCACCGGAGAUCCUUCUCUCGCUCCUCCUCGAAGCUCUCGAAGAUCACAUAAACUAUUUCUCUUUUGUUUACAAAUUUCAUUUGCUUAAAGGGAGAAGAUAUCCAUCAAACUUCUUAUCACAGAUAAGAUUUUCUAGACCCUUUCUCAUAUUCAUAUUAUUCUAUUGAAACCUCUUAAUCAUAUGGUUUAGCUUUGUUUGAGUAUGUGUGACUAGUUCUCUCGUUGUCUUUAAGGGUUUUCGAAAAGGGGAUUCAUGGAUCUUAUACUAAGGUGAUUAGUUUCGGGUCUGUUCGUUUACUAUUUUCCAUCUAAAUAUAUCUUUGCUGCUUACUGCUUGAUUGACGACCUAGCUACUGCUUUUAGGAUAUAUUUAAAUCGCGUGAAGUAAUUUAGAAGAGCAAAGCGUCAUAACCAACCGAAAAUUGAGUUAUAGAGUUUUGUUUGUGAGCAUAUCAUAGUUGGAUUGCUUAUGUAUGUUUAGCUCCUACUUACCUGCAUAAAUAUUUCAUUUUACCUAAGCCAUAUUUCUUCUUAAUAAAACUUGUCGCGUAGCGUAUUAGUCUCUGUGGGAUCGAUACCUUAAAAACUACAAUCAACUUGCUAUGCACUGGCAGCUUUUUCGUUGUGUUAUUCAAGGUUUUAAACCUGACACACAUCAGAAUUCUGGUGUAAAACUGUUUAAUAAGUUAUGUCUUGUUUUAUUACAGUUUUCUCAAAUUGGAAAAAAUGGUUUUUGAAGAAUGAUGCAAAUCAAAGGAUCCAGAAUGCAAAGCCGCAUAGAGGAAGCUUUAAGAGUAAAUGCGAUGGAUGCAGAGAAAUAUGAGGAAAAGAAGAUAAUAGAGAAUUCAUUGAAAAAUCAACCUCCAUGCUUCCCUUACAAUGCUUAUGUCUUGCUUGCUUAAACAACAAAUCUCAGUGAGUUUUUAUAUAUAGUUUUGUUUAAUAGUUUAUAUUAAAUAAAGCGUAACCUCCCACUAAAUUUUGUUUAACAUUUUAUUUUAAAAUAUUUACAUUAUUAUAAAUGAUUUAAUUUUUUUUCAUCAUUUAAAAAAUGAAUCUGAAAAUGGUGAUGCAAUUAAUUUGCAUUACUUUCUUACUAAAAAGUGUUGAUAUCAAAAUACUUAAAUCGAUUAUUUCAAUCAAUAUAAGUAUAUAUCAUUUAUUAAAUAAUGAUUUUAAAAUUUACUACAAUUUAUUUAAGUAAUAUUAGUAUUUGUUUCUUGUAUACAAGAAACACAUAUAUAAUAACGAUUUGGUUCGUUGUUAAUAUCGUAAAUGAGGUUUAUAUCAACAUAGCGACGAAAUUAAUUUGUCAUAUUUUGAUCAAAAUUAAUCUACAUUCUGUGUAAAAAUGGCAUCAUUUUCAAAUAGUAAAUUUUCAUCAAUUAUUUGUAUAUAAUUAUUUAAUAAAAUGAUUGUAAUUUAAAAAUAAAAUAAUAACUGUACAAAUUUGACCUUUAAAAUGAUGGUAAUUUGUUUCUAUUUUUUUCAUAAAUUAUAACUAAGUUUUUAGGAUUAAAAAUUUCAACAAGAAAUGUGUUUCUGUAAAUUCGUCGUAAUCUUUCAUUUUUUAAAAAAUCCUAUUCUUAGGCAACAAUUAUUAGAGGAGUAAUUAUAUUUAGUCAUAGCUAGUUCUAGGGGUGUCAAAAUGACUUGAAUUUAAUGGCUCAACCCAAACCAAUCCAAUCCAUGAACCUAGGGGUGUCAAAAUGGAUAAACCAACCCAAACCAAAUCAUAAUCCAAUGAGUUUAGACUUAAAUUAUUUGGAUCAACCUAUUUACCCAAUUAUUUGUUGGUUUUAAUGGUUAAAUGGGUUGACUCAUGACAAUAAAACAAUAAAUUAAUAUUAUUAGAUAUUAUCAAAAUUUAUUAUUAAUAAUAAUAUAAUAUCACAUUUUUGGUGGGAACCUUACAAAAUUACGUUUCUGGCGGGAAAAAAUGGAAUCCUGUUUUUUUUGCGGGAAAAUUACAAAAUUACAUUUCUGGCGGGAAAAUCACGUUUUUGGCGGGAAACUAUGGAAUCCCACUUUUGGCGGGAAAUUUAUAAAUUACGUUUUUGGCAGGAAAAAUCACGUUUUUGGCGGGAAAACAUGGAAUCCCGUUUUUUCCGGAAAAUAUAGAAUAACGUUUUUGGCGGAAAAUAUAGAAUCACAUUUUUGGCUGGAAAAAUAAAAUCACGUUUUUGGCGGGAAAAAUAUGGAAUCACGUUUUUGGCGGGAAAUUUUAGGUUAUGAAAGAUUGAUGGAAGAAAUCUAAUUAAAUUAGGCAUGUGGUUUAAUAAAAUUGGUUUAGACAUUUGAUUUGGUUAUAUUUGGUUUAUCUAUUUGAUUUAAGAUUUUUCAAUUUUUAUUGGUUUGGUUAUGGAUAACUCAUUAAACUAUUUCAAUCCAAACCAUUAUAACCCAACUCACUAAACCCAUUUAACCCAUUAAUCCAUUAAUACCCAAAAUUCCAACUCAAUAAGUUCAUGUAGGGGUGUCAAAAUGGGUUGAAUUUAAUGGUUCAAACCAAACCAAUCCAAUCCAUGAACCUAUAUUAAAUUCAUUUAAAAUAUAACCAAAAUGGGAAAAUGAACCUAUAUGAACCAUGGAUUGGAUUGGUUUGGGUUGAGCCAUUAAAUUCAACCCAUGUUGACACCCUUUGAUGAACCUAAUGAGUUGGAAUUUUGGGUAUUAAUGGAUUAAUGGGUUAAUGAGUUUAGUGAGUUGGGAUAUAAUGGUUUGGAUUGAAAUGGUUUAAUGAUUUAUCCAUAACCAAACCAAUAAAAAUUUAACAAUCUUAAAUCAAAUAGAUAAACCAAAUAUAACCAAAUGAAAUGUCUAAACUAUUUUUAUUAAACCACAUGCCUUAAUUAGAUUUCUUCCAUCAAUCUUUCAUAACCUAAAAUUUUCCGCCAAAAAUGUGAUUCCAUAUUUUUUCCGCCAAAACGUGAUUUUAUUUUUCCAGCCAAAAACUUGAUUCUAUAUUUUUCCGCCAAAAACGAGAUUCCAUGUUUUCACGCCAAAAGCGUGAUUUUUCCUGCCAAAAACGUAAUUUGUAAAUUUCCCGCCAAAAAUGGGAUUCCAUAUUUUCCCGCCAAAAACGUGAUUUUCCCCGCCAAAAAUGUAAUUUUGUAAUUUUCCCGCCAAAAAACAUGAUUCCAUUUUUCCCACCAGAAACGUGAUUUUGUAAUGUUCCCGCCAAAAAUGUUAUAUCAUAUUGUUAUUAAUAAUAAAUUUUGAUAAUAUAUUAAUAAUAUCUAAUAAUAUUAAUUUAUUGUUUUAUUGUCAGGAGUCAACCCAUUUAACCAUUAAAACCAACAAAUAUCUAAACUCAUUGUUUUAUGAAUUGGUUUGGGUUGGUUUAUCCAUUUUGACACCCCUAGUGCCUAGUUCUAAUCAUUACAUAUAAAGUGAUUCUUAUACCCAAAAAUAGAUUGUCUACUUGUGGAUUAAAAUGUAUUACUACGAAGUGAGAUUUCACACCUUUCAGUUUUCCAAUUUAUUACUUACUUCUCGUUUAGUAUGAAUGUCUUAUCUUAUAAUUUUAAAUCAACAUGACCUUCGUUAAAAAAAAAUGUUUUUCCCCUAGGGAGAACAAAUACUGUAAUAAUCUAAGUUAUGAGCAUAUUGUUCCAUGCUAAAAGGCAUCCAUUCCCAAGAAACCAGCAAAUAGCAAGAGAAGUAUCAACCAAAGGUUUUUGAGAUAAUUUUAAGAUUUAAAACUCUACAUAUAGUACAUAUCAAAAGAGAGAUAUAAGUAAACCUGAAACUUGGUCGUCACUUGAUUCCUUGUAGCUAUAUCUCAAGACUGUCUAAAAGGGAACAUACAAGAAAACUAGGUUAAAUGUUCUAGUGUAUUAGAGUGUAGGACAUAAGCUUUUUUAAAGCUGCUAUAAAAAGGAGAAGGGAAACCCAUAUAAGGAAAAAUUUCAAGCCAUCGAGUCAUAUUUUGUAAAAAAAUCUUAAUCAUAAUCUUAAUCCUAAUUGGUUUGGCUACAAAACAUGCUUAUUAACUAGUCUUAUUCAUGCAAGCCGAGACUAGUUGAUAAGCGUAUUUUGUAGCAUAACCAACUAGGAUAAGAUUAUUGUUCAGAUUUCUUUACCCUAGAUGAAUGGAUAGUUUGAGAUUUUUACUUAUAUUGGUUUUCCUUUCUCCUUUUUAUAGCAACUUGGAUAAAUGGAUAUUUCUUAUAGCAGGUUCAAACUAAGUGUCCAGUACACUGUUAUACACUAGUACCUUUAAUUCAGGUUCGUGUAUGUUCCCUCUCGACGAUUUUGAGAGAUGGCUAAUAAGAAUCUAGUGACAACUAAAUGUUUCAGGUUUACAUACAUCCCUCUUUUGAUAUAUGUACUACAUAUAUAUAGAGCUUUUCUAAUAGAAACUUUCUAGAUAUCUUUGGUUAAUUAUUUUCUAUAUUAUGCUAGUUAUUUUCUAUAUUAUGUAAAGAAAUCUUUGCUCUUUUCUAGGAGCUAGUUACUCAACUACACCUUCAAGAACCAACAAACUAAAGCAAUUCACAAAAAAAAGAACCAACAAACUAAAGCUUGAUGACCUUAGAAAAAUCCGGAUAUGGCCAAAGCUCAAUUUUAAUGACGUUAACAGUUUGGUUUUGGAAAUAGUAAAAUAUGAUAAAAGGGAGUGUGUGGUAUGUUUUAAAGUACUAUUCUCUCGUGACUUGUUUUUUUUGUUGUUGUUGUGUCCUUCUUAAUUAAGCUCUUCUUUCUUCAAACACAUGUUUUUUCAGUACGUAAUAAUUAUUUUGGUUCUAUUGUGAUUGCGUUUUGAAAUGUUCUUCUUAGUUAUCUUUUCUCGUGACAUAAAUAACUCUUCUUUCUUCAAACACAUGUUAUUCUUGGCUCUCUUGUAACUUCUUGUUUUGAAGUGACUUGUAGUGUUCUUCUUAAUUAUCUAUAUUGUUUUGAAGUGACUUGUAGUGUUCUUCUUAAUUAUCUAUAUUGUUUUCUUGUGACACAUGUACUUUGUAGAUUUACUAACCUCUCAUUGGAUAAUUCCAUUCACCUAACUAGUCUUUCCACGUUCAUAUAAGGGUGUUCCAGUGCACAACAAUCAAAGCAAGAGACGAAGAAAACAAAGAAAAACAAAAAAAACGAAAUGGAGUCAAAGUUUCAUGUUUUUAUGUUUC